rnacentral:lncRNA from 1 species
AAUAGAUUUGAGAAAUUUUAUAUAUAUGAAUAGCUUUACAUUUGCAUUCAGUCAUAAUGGUAGAAAAAGAGGGGGGAAAUGGCUGAGAUCUUGGACGACUCCGCCACCGCCGAUGAUAUCAAGUACGCUGCCAGUCACCCCAGUCGCUCCUACAUACUCGACGCCAAGCUAGGCCAUGGCGGUGACACCUGCUAACGUCAAGCUAGGAAUACCCCAACUCAUAUGCCUUCUGCAUUCAAUCUUCAUCAUCGAUUGGUCUGAAAUAGAUUAGUGGAGAGAUUACAACAAGCAGUCAAGCACAGAUUAGUGGAAGAGGACAACAAGCACAUAUUAGUGGAGAGAGAAGGCAGGAGGAAGAGAAGGAAGGGGGCAAAGUUCGUGAAUCGUGAGAAUAAAAAUAGAACUGGAAAUCCGAAAUAGAUCUGAGAUACUUAAGACUUAAUCUGCAUAGUAUCCCUUGUGUAUACCUAGAAGAUGGAGGAGAAGAAUAGCUCUCUCUUUCUCUCUAUCAAUUGAUAGAGAGAGAAAUUAGGGUUUUGUUGAUGGGUCGAAGAGAUAGUGACGACUGAGAAAAGUGAGAAAUGAAAAUUUGAGGUGUGAAGUUAUUAUUUC